GGAGGGUUGGCUGAGUGGUCUAAAGCUCCUCAUUGCUAACGAGGCGAGCGUCAAUGCGUUCCGCAGGUUCGAAUCCUGCACCCUCCG
rnacentral:tRNA from 1 species